CUGGAAGUUGCAGGAGUUUCAAAUGCAAGUAAAACAUGUGCCGGCAAAGAGAACAUUAUUGCUGAUGCCCUAUAAAAGCAAAGUGCUGGACAGUGAAAAAUGGACUAACAGUAGGAUGUUGCACACUUAUCCUUCGUACAGGAUACAUAUUUCACUUGAGAAGGGGAGGAAUAUGUAAAGGAAUGAGGCACAAACCUUUUCUCCAUUGUAAAUAUGUAUAGAACGUUACCUGGUUUCUGUGUCUGUGUGGGGUCAAAAGUUCAUUCUUAUUUUUCUGUAGUUUUACAUUUGGUUAAUAUUUGACAGUUGAUUUUUUUUGGGGGGGAGAGAUUUAUUUUUUUUUAAAUGGAGGGAAAUUUUUGUUUAUCCUGAUUGGCUGGACUGAGGAACUGUUGGGCAGAGAAACUGUAUAUAUUGGGAGUGUUUGGAGAGGGAAGGGAGAGUCCUGGAAGUGAAGUCUACAGAAUCCUGAGAGAGAGUCCUGGAAAAAGAAGUCAAGAGAGUCCUGGCAGUAGAAGGGAGUUUGGAAGUCUGCAGAGAGUGAGCAGCCUGCAAGAGGAAGAGAAGCCUUUGAGCUGAAAUCACUGGAAGAAAAGGAAGAGCCAGGCUGGAUUUAGCCGUAACCAGAACAAAGUCUACCCUGCAAAGCCAAAGCUGAGAAGAAAGAAAGUACAAGAGGACUCUGAGUAGGGACCUCUUUAGAGCUAGGGGAAUAUAUCGCUUUCCAAUUUCCUUUCCCAUCAAGGGAAUGGCCUGGUUUUCCGUAGGACAGAAUCCAGAGCUUUUAUCUCUCCCAUGCUAAUGAGCAUCUAUUGUACUUCAGUGACGUGCAACUGUGGUGCAGCUACUAUCGCUACGGUACAGGUGCAAAAUACGAUCUGAAGGCCUUAUGCUUAGAUGUUCUGCUUCCAUGGGUAGAAACCACCUCACAGCUGUAAUAUCCAAGACUGAAGACAGGAGUGUAACACAUACUCUGACUCCUUUUAUUUUUUUCUCAUGUUCCCUGGUGAAUGAAGAACACGUUCUCCCCAACUUCCCUCAAAAGAUCUUCAAAGGAAAGGAAUACAUUGACGCAUUCACUUUGUUUCCUUCCUUCAACCACUGCUAAUUGAGCAAAGAAGCACCCUAUAACGUGGCGAUUCUCUUACCUUUAGCAGGCGGAGAGCAACUGGCCCUAUCCAAUCCUAGCACAGCACCCCUCCUGUAGUGGUUGUUGGUGCCUACUUUAUAUUUCUUUUUAGAAGUGAGCCCUUUUGAGACAGGGAAUCAUCAUACAUCAAUUCCUGACAUCUCCAGGUAGAUGCUGGGAAAGACUCUUGUUAGAAAGUGCCAAACCAGUGCUCAAAUUAUGGAGGGGAAAGGUAGGGAUUGGGAGCCCUUUAUGAAAUUUACAGGCUCCACCCUCUGAUGUUUAUGUUCCCCACUGCAGUUUUUGUAAAAAAAACAACCAGUAGCUAAGGGGGCAGCCCACAAAAGCUAAGGGGGCAGGAGGUGCCUGCAUCCCUGCAAUUCAAGCAUUCAGUGUAGCCAACACUGAAUGUUGGAACAAUUCCGUAUGAGGGAGUUCAUAUAUGCAGCUUCAUCAGGCUGUAAUGGAAGAAAAAAGUGAGGACAAUGCACAGCAGCAAGGCAAGGAACCACCUUGUAAAGCAUUCAGCUGGAGGAGGCACUGCAGCCAGAGAGAGAAGCUUUGUCCAUCAACCUCUGAGGUUCAGUGGAUCAUGGUUGGGAGAUGCCAAAUGCUCCCGUGAAAAAAACACCAUCCCAGGCGCAUUCUGUCUUGUGCUCCUGAUAGGAUGGGAAGUUUGGCAUUUUUAUGGUUUGGGUAACUGUUUCAUUUCAGAAAUAAAUAGUUGUGAAAUCUAA